UUCUUUGGUUAUCUAGCUGUAUGAGUGAUAUUAACAUCAUAAAGCUAGGUUACCAAAGUU
rfam:Ixodes scapularis strain Wikel colony gcontig_1108379287714, whole genome shotgun sequence.